AGCCCAUGAUUAGGACAUCUCCUAAUUAAAUCCUUGUACCUCUCCCAAGCAUCAUAGAAACCUUCUCCAUGUCUCUGAACAAAACUGAGAAUCUGAUCUCUAGCU